UUGAAUUAAAAUUUGGUUGGGUUGCUGCUGGUUCUCUGGAGCAUGUGCACGCUCAUUCCAUUUUUAACCACCUGUGCACCCAUUGUAGACCUGAAUGAAAUUUAUUUCGAGGAAACUCGGUUUGAGAACUGCUACCAAGCUGUUCUUGCAUUCAGGCUCUAUGUAUAUAACAUAUCCUCUGUAAUAAGUAAUUGAAUGUUAAUUUAUAGGCCUAUUGUGCCUUUAAACCUAAUA
rnacentral:misc_RNA from 2 species